rnacentral:tmRNA from 1 species
GGGGAUGCCAGGUUUCGACAGAGAGCCAGGAGCAAACGCUGCAGGUCGAGGUGCCAGUGGAUGUCUCGCUAAACAACUGGCAACGGCAUAACUGCCAACAACAACGUAGCUCUCGCUGCUUAACUAACAGCGACGUCUAAUCGACCCAUCGCCGACGGGUUGAAGAAGGCGCCACAAAGUCGGCUGUGCGGAGGCUCUAAGAACCCAUAGGGACCUUCUAAGACUGCUGGGUUGGCUGGCGGAAACUUUGUCGGUAGAGGCUCCGCCGGCGAGAUAAAAGUACCGACUAAGCUUGUAGAAGCGUUCGUGACCAGCUUUUUGGACGGGGCGUUCGAUUCGCCCCCAUCUCCACCA